rnacentral:pre_miRNA from 1 species
GAUCUACUCCCUCCGUCCGAAAAUACUUGUCAUCAAAAUGAAGAAAAGAGGAUGUAUCUAGAUGUAUAUUAGUUCUAGAUACAUCUCUUUUUAUCCAUUUUGAUGACAAGUAUUUUCAGACGGAGGAAGUAGUUU